ACGGGGUUCGUGCCGAAGACCAGGCACAGACACACAACGGCCUUUGCACCACUCGUGGUCUUCCUUGCGAGCAGCAGUGACAGUCGUAGCGUCGGCAAUCCAGUCACCAUGAUCAAGCUCCUGAUCCUCCUCGCCGUGCUGGCUCUUUUUGCCGUCUCUUACACUGCCGCGGCGCCGCAGUACGUCCUUCCGUACGCCUACCCGUACCACUAUGGCUACUACGGUGCCUACUACCCCCACUACUACUACGGGCGCUAAACUGGCGCCAAGGCGAGCGCAGCGACAGUUUGCGGUAAUUUCUUCGAGAUGAAAUCAAGUUUUCUAACUCGCUCCUCCACUGUGAUUGGCACUUCUCAAGAUCACCCUUGAGCCCAACUUAUUCAGUUCAGCUGUCCUGCGGAAUCCAACGAUGUCCAGGGUUCUAACGCUGACCCUUCAUGAAUCUUC